UGAACUUUGAGAUCACGCAUCAUUGCGACUACUUUUUCCAAAAGUACAUGUAAUUUAUCAGUAAACCCUGAAAUACAAAGUAUUAUGCCACGAGUAGAUGGUGAAAGUGAAAAGGAAAGACCAGCUAAGCUAGCAGGAUAAGAAUAUUCUCCUAGAGCAUCUUCUAUUAAUCGCGUGUAAAGUGUCGUCGACACAGAAACUUUGGGAGACCUCCUGGCGAUUGGAGAUAUGAAAUUUAUGAAAACGUUAGCUUUAGGUACCCAAAAAGUGUCAUCCUUUUUAUGCCAUAAUCUUACAAAUUUGUCAUUUCGCACCAAAUUCGGCACUUUCAGUUUCGUCGUUACUGGCUGCUUUUCAACUUCUAAAGACCAAGGAAUGAAUUCAUUUGCCAAAGGCAAGUAAAGUUCACUGGAUGUCUUAAUAUGUAGCAAAGAGUCUAUAAACUGAGAAUCCAAAUCCUCCAAUCCGUAAUCUAUGCCAUAGAACUUCUCUUUAUUAUCAAGUCCUUUCUCAAUUGAAUGAGCAGCUAAAAUGGCAAAAAAGUUAUUAGGACGAAGACUCUCAACAACCUCCUGAAUACCUUUAGGGUCAAAUUCAGUGAGUACUGAGGAAUAAUAAAGGACUUUAUCACGAGGAUAUUCUCGUUGAAGCUUGC